UGUGAGCUCGAUGAGUAGGGCGGGACACGUGGUAUCCUGUCUGAAUAUGGGGGGACCAUCCUCCAAGGCUAAAUACUCCUGACUGACCGAUAGUGAACCAGUACCGUGAGGGAAAGGCGAAAAGAACCCCGGCGAGGGGAGUGAAAAAGAACCUGAAACCGUGUACGUACAAGCAGUGGGAGCACGCUUAGGCGUGUGACUGCGUACCUUUUGUAUAAUGGGUCAGCGACUUAUAUUCUGUAGCAAGGUUAACCGAAUAGGGGAGCCGAAGGGAAACCGAGUCUUAACUGGGCGUUAAGUUGCAGGGUAUAGACCCGAAACCCGGUGAUCUAGCCAUGGGCAGGUUGAAGGUUGGGUAACACUAACUGGAGGACCGAACCGACUAAUGUUGAAAAAUUAGCGGAUGACUUGUGGCUGGGGGUGAAAGGCCAAUCAAACCGGGAGAUAGCUGGUUCUCCCCGAAAGCUAUUUAGGUAGCGCCUCGUGAAUUCAUCUCCGGGGGUAGAGCACUGUUUCGGCAAGGGGGUCAUCCCGACUUACCAACCCGAUGCAAACUGCGAAUACCGGAGAAUGUUAUCACGGGAGACACACGGCGGGUGCUAACGUCCGUCGUGAAGAGGGAAACAACCCAGACCGCCAGCUAAGGUCCCAAAGUCAUGGUUAAGUGGGAAACGAUGUGGGAAGGCCCAGACAGCCAGGAUGUUGGCUUAGAAGCAGCCAUCAUUUAAAGAAAGCGUAAUAGCUCACUGGUCGAGUCGGCCUGCGCGGAAGAUGUAACGGGGCUAAACCAUGCACCGAAGCUGCGGCAGCGACGCUUAUGCGUUGUUGGGUAGGGGAGCGUUCUGUAAGCCUGUGAAGGUGUACUGUGAGGUAUGCUGGAGGUAUCAGAAGUGCGAAUGCUGACAUAAGUAACGAUAAAGCGGGUGAAAAGCCCGCUCGCCGGAAGACCAAGGGUUCCUGUCCAACGUUAAUCGGGGCAGGGUGAGUCGACCCCUAAGGCGAGGCCGAAAGGCGUAGUCGAUGGGAAACAGGUUAAUAUUCCUGUACUUGGUGUUACUGCGAAGGGGGGGACGGAGAAGGCUAUGUUGGCCGGGCGACGGUUGUCCCGGUUUAAGCGUGUAGGCUGGUUUUCCAGGCAAAUCCGGAAAAUCAAGGCUGAGGCGUGAUGACGAGGCACUACGGUGCUGAAGCAACAAAUGCCCUGCUUCCAGGAAAAGCCUCUAAGCAUCAGGUAACAUCAAAUCGUACCCCAAACCGACACAGGUGGUCAGGUAGAGAAUACCAAGGCGCUUGAGAGAACUCGGGUGAAGGAACUAGGCAAAAUGGUGCCGUAACUUCGGGAGAAGGCACGCUGAUAUGUAGGUGAAGUCCCUCGCGGAUGGAGCUGAAAUCAGUCGAAGAUACCAGCUGGCUGCAACUGUUUAUUAAAAACACAGCACUGUGCAAACACGAAAGUGGACGUAUACGGUGUGACGCCUGCCCGGUGCCGGAAGGUUAAUUGAUGGGGUUAGCGCAAGCGAAGCUCUUGAUCGAAGCCCCGGUAAACGGCGGCCGUAACUAUAACGGUCCUAAGGUAGCGAAAUUCCUUGUCGGGUAAGUUCCGACCUGCACGAAUGGCGUAAUGAUGGCCAGGCUGUCUCCACCCGAGACUCAGUGAAAUUGAACUCGCUGUGAAGAUGCAGUGUACCCGCGGCAAGACGGAAAGACCCCGUGAACCUUUACUAUAGCUUGACACUGAACAUUGAGCCUUGAUGUGUAGGAUAGGUGGGAGGCUUUGAAGUGUGGACGCCAGUCUGCAUGGAGCCGACCUUGAAAUACCACCCUUUAAUGUUUGAUGUUCUAACGUUGACCCGUGAUCCGGGUUGCGGACAGUGUCUGGUGGGUAGUUUGACUGGGGCGGUCUCCUCCUAAAGAGUAACGGAGGAGCACGAAGGUUGGCUAAUCCUGGUCGGACAUCAGGAGGUUAGUGCAAUGGCAUAAGCCAGCUUGACUGCGAGCGUGACGGCGCGAGCAGGUGCGAAAGCAGGUCAUAGUGAUCCGGUGGUUCUGAAUGGAAGGGCCAUCGCUCAACGGAUAAAAGGUACUCCGGGGAUAACAGGCUGAUACCGCCCAAGAGUUCAUAUCGACGGCGGUGUUUGGCACCUCGAUGUCGGCUCAUCACAUCCUGGGGCUGAAGUAGGUCCCAAGGGUAUGGCUGUUCGCCAUUUAAAGUGGUACGCGAGCUGGGUUUAGAACGUCGUGAGACAGUUCGGUCCCUAUCUGCCGUGGGCGCUGGAGAACUGAGGGGGGCUGCUCCUAGUACGAGAGGACCGGAGUGGACGCAUCACUGGUGUUCGGGUUGUCAUGCCAAUGGCACUGCCCGGUAGCUAAAUGCGGAAGAGAUAAGUGCUGAAAGCAUCUAAGCACGAAACUUGCCCCGAGAUGAGUUCUCCCUGACUCCUUGAGAGUCCUGAAGGAACGUUGAAGACGACGACGUUGAUAGGCCGGGUGUGUAAGCGCAGCGAUGCGUUGAGCUAACCGGUACUAAUGAACCGUGAGGCUUAACCUU
rnacentral:rRNA from 1 species